CGCCCGUAGCUCAGCUGGAUAGAGUACCUGACUACGAAUCAGGUGGUCGGAGGUUCGAAUCCUCCCGGGCG
rnacentral:tRNA from 1 species